UUACAUCUACCAUUCCCUCAAAACCAAAUGCCCAACCGCCAUGUCCUUCACCGCCAAAUGCCCGACCGUUGUUUCCCGCCUCAAAAACCCUCUCUUUCACCAUCACUCUCUGCACACCACUGUCCCUCAAAAUCCCACGAAUUUCACCCAAAAUUUCAAGAGCCCCACGCACCAAACCCUGCACCACCUCCUAGAGCAAUGCUCCUCCAUGAGAGAACUCAAGCAACUCCACGCCCAAAUCAUCCUCCAUAGCCUCACCAAUGAAAACCUCACCCUCGGAAAAUUCAUCUCCUUCUGCUCCGUCAACCACGCCGGCAACCUCCACUACGCUCAGCUUUUGUUCGACCAUGUUCAUGAACCCAAUAAGUUUAUGUACAAUAGUCUCAUAAGGGGCUACUCAAAUAGUGAUGACCCAUUUAAGGCUUUCUCGCUGUACUGCCAAAUGGUUCGUUCAGGGCAUUCGCCGAACGAGUUUACGUUACCCUUUGUUCUUAAGGUUUGUGCUGGGCAGUCUGCGUAUUGGGAAUCUGUGGUUGUUCAUGGUCAGGCGAUUAAAAGAGGAAUUGGGUCUCAAGUUUGCGUGCAAAAUGCUCUUAUUAAUGUCUACGGUGUUUGUGGGUCUAUCCGGAGCGCUCGGAAUGUGUUUGACGAUAUGUCCGAGAGGAGUCUGGUUUCGUGGAAUUCGAUGAUAGGCGGGUAUGCUAGAAUGGGUUCAUGCAAGGGAGCUUUUUUAUUGUUUAGGGAGAUGAGAGAUUUAGGGGUUGGGCCUGAUAAGUUUACCUUGGUUAAUUUACUUUCUGUUUGUUCACAGUCUUGUGAUUUAGAAUUGGGACGGUAUGUGCAUCUUUAUAUUGAGGUUAGUGGGAUUGAAGUUGAUCAAAUUCUGAGAAAUGCUCUUCUGGAUAUGUAUGCUAAGUGUGGCCAUUUGCACUUGGCACAAACGAUUUUUUAUCGAAUGACUCACAAAAAUGUGGUUUCAUGGACGUCAAUGGUUAGUGCAUAUGCUAAACAUGGGCUCAUUGAAUUUGCCCAGGAAUUUUUUGAUCAGAUGCCACUGAAAAAUGUGGUUUCGUGGAAUUCAAUGAUUUCAUAUUAUGUCCGAGAAGGCCAAUGCAGGGCUGCCUUGGAUCUCUUCCAAAGAAUGCUUAAUUCUGGUGCGUUGCCUGAUGAAGCUACCUUGGUUUUCAUCCUUUCAGCCUGUAGUCAAAUUGGUGAUUUGGUCAUUGGAAAGAAAACCCACAGUUACAUUUGCAACAGCAAUGUCGCACCCAGUGUAACUCUUUUUAAUUCCCUUAUAGACAUGUAUGCAAAAUGUGGUGCUGUUGGAAUCGCCAUGGACCUCUUUACUCAGAUACCAGAAAAGAAUGUAGUAUCAUGGAACGUUAUCAUUGGGGCCCUUGCACUGCACGGUUGUGGAUUCGAAGCAAUUAGGAUAUUCAAACAGAUGCAAGCAGGUGGAAUCUGGCCCGAUGAGAUCACCUUCACUGGAUUGCUUUCUGCUUGUAGUCACAGCGGUCUUCUAGACAUGGGGCGAUAUUACUUUGAAAGAAUGGAGUCUAUUUACAGAAUAUCACCUGAAAUUGAGCACUAUGCUUGUAUGGUUGAUCUGCUGGGGCGAGGGGGGUUUUUGGAAGAAGCAAUUAGGCUGUUAAUAGGAAUGCCAAUGAAGCCCGAUAUUGUUAUUUGGGGUGCUUUGCUUGGUGCUUGUAGGAUCCAUGGAAAUGUAGAUUUAGGCAAACAAAUUCUGAAGCAGCUUUUAGAGUUGGAAGGACAUGGUUCUGGGCUUUAUGUACUUCUCUCGAACAUAUUUGGUGAAGCUCACAGAUGGGAAGAUGUUAAGAAGAUCAGGAAACUAAUAAAAGAUGGUGGAGUCAUAAAGAGUAGAGCAGUGAGCUCCAUUGAAAUUGAUGGCUGUGUUUAUGAAUUUAUGGUUGAUGACAAGAGACAUGAAACUUCAAGCAGUAUAUACUCCAUGCUUGAUCAAUUAACAGAUCAUCUAAAGUCUACUGGGCAUCGACUGCUUGUGUUUUUUGUACCAAAAUCAUUGGGGAGAAACUCGCAUUAACUACUUUGCUUUUGGAAAUCAAGUUGAAGAUUUCUUCGUAUAGUCUAAAUGGUCAAGUGAUUAGCUACUCCCGACCGACGUGAAAAGAUGUUGGUCUAGUUUUUAGUUACUGACUGACUGUAUAAAAGUGGAAAUUCAAUCCUUGGGGUUCUUAAGUUGAGUGUGUGAAAAGUAAAUGUGCCAAGAUAUUAAGUUGCAGCUGAUCUUAUGCAAUUAAAAUUAUCACAGAACUAAUGAAUAUCCUACUUCAACUGAGUAGGACAUGUGUUAUGUAACAAGAAGAAAUAUAUUCUACAAGCUGGUUUCUUCCUUUCAGGAUGUUCUGUGAUUCAUGCCAUGUCGGAUGAUCAAGAUAUGCAGAAGAUGGGGAGGCUUGCCUCCUCGUUCCCUUUAACCUAUGCCAGUGUGGAAUUAAGAUUACAGAACAGAGCUUGAGCAACUGAAUUCAGACUAUUUCUAGCUCAGGAAAAGAAUCAUUAACAUGGAAAACAUGCCACAAGAACCUGAUACUAAGUGAUGCAUCAUGGUCAUCACCAAUAAUGUUAGAAGACGAAUUCAACAAAUGUGAAAAGGCACAUUGAAAACUAUGAGUGCGUAACAAAACUUGGAAGGAUGACCACAACCAACUUGCAGAGCUUCAGUCAAGCUGCAGCUCAUAGGUUGUGCAGCGGCUGCAGACGGAUGGGAACAACUAGAACUUCCUUAUAAGUUUUAUUCAAUAUUAUCGAAUGCAAACUAUAUAGUCAAAAGAAAAUCCAAAGUACAAUCUUACCAAAUCAUACUGAGCCAACCAAGGAAAGAAGAAGGAAGGGCACAUCCAAUCCAAGAACCAAUUUGACCAUGGAAGGGAGGUCUUCCCAAAUCUUGAGCGGCUAUAAGAGGUGGGGCCUUGACAACCAUGCAUGGAUAAAGUGCUCUGGAUCGAAGAACUUUCAUGGAAGAAGUGUGUGGGUUGAAGCAUAGCUAGCUAAUAGAAACAGUAAAGGGCGGCCGAGUUUGGAUGGAUUUGAAGAAUAAGUUAAAACAAAAAAAAAACAAAAAAAGGAAGAAGCUUGGCACCGGGAUACAUGGAGCAUGCAGAUUGCAGAGAUGGGGCUCAAACCAGCAGACCCCCCAGAACAGCUUACGCCACCCUUUGUCGGAUUGUUUGCAAAUAUACACAUAAUAUUGCUACUUGUUGAUUGAGUGUUGCACUUUCCAAGGCCCUUCUUUUCCACGUGCCCUUCCUCAUGCCUUGCAGCGAAGCACCAUGCCCACGUUUUCCUCUUCAUUUUGGCCCUUUUCAUUCCAGUCUAAUUCAUUCUCUGCCUCUCUGGACACUGCUGCCCUUGGAGUUGCCCCAAUUUCCCCCUAAUUCGCCACUUGUAGACGUUGCAGUGUAGCAGCCACUCAAUCUCUUUUUACGACCGACUGUAUAUUCACUCUUUCUUUCUUCUCUGUUAAAUUACCCUCUUCCUCUUCCAAUUUCACCUGCAGUUUUGUCUCUGGAUUUUUGAGUGACAAGGCUCCUAUCAUCUCGCUCAACUGCUCCCAUGUGAAAAAUCUCUAUGGAAUGGGAUAUUUUGUGUCUUGGCAAUGUGAAUAUCAUGUGACAAUUAGAAAGUGGCUCUAGGUUUUACAA